rnacentral:misc_RNA from 1 species
UUUCCGUAGGUGAACCUGUGGAAGGAUCAUUAUCAAAACAGCGGACUUCGGUCCUUGCUGCACCCUUGUCUUUUGCGUACCGUAUGUUUCCUCGGCGGGCUUGCCUGCCGGUUGGACAUUAUCAUACCUUUUUGUAGUUGCAAUCAGCGUCAGAAACAAAACAAUAAUUACAUCUUUCAACUACGGAUCUCUUGGUUCUGGCAUAGAUGAAGAACGCAGC